AUUGAAACACCAGUUCCCGUACGAUCACCGAAGUUAAACAACGUCAAGCCUGGUCAGACCUAGAUGGGUGACCUCUUGGGAAUACCAUGAACUGUAAG